rnacentral:tRNA from 1 species
GCCAAGAGAUGGCUCAGUCAGUAGAGUAGGAGACUCUUAAUCUCAGGGUUGUGGGUUUGAGCCCCAUGUUGGGCA